GACGAACGCUGGCGGCGUGCUUAACACAUGCAAGUCGAACGGAAAGGCCUGCUUUCCCUUGUGGAUUGCGGGUACUCGAGUGGCGAACGGGUGAGUAACACGUGAGUGAUCUGCCCCCAACUUGGGUAUAAGCCUGGGAAACUGGGUCUAAUUUCCGAUAGGACUGCAGGGUGGUGCCUGUGGUGGAAAACGAUUUUCUAGUGGUUGGGGAUGAGCUCGCGGCCUAUCAGCUUGUUGGUGGGGUAAUGGCCUACCAAGGCGGCGACGGGUAGCCGGCCUGAGGGGGUGGGCGGCCACAUUGGGACUAAGAGACGGCCCAGACACCUAAGGGAGGCAGCAGGGGGGAAUAAUGCACAAUGGGCGGAAGCCUGAGGCAGCGACGCCGCGUGGGGGAUGACGGCCUUCGGGUUGUAAACUCCUUUCGACCGCGAGGAAGCCACCUGGUUGGAAGGGUGGUGACGGUAGUGGUAGAAGAAGCACCGGCUAACUACGUG
rnacentral:rRNA from 1 species